GUUGUGGGAAUGGUACUUCGUUUGAUCAUUCUAUGUCUCUAGUUGCAAAUUAGUUACUUUGUUUGAUCAUUCUAUGUUUCUAGUUGCAAAUUAGACUUUUAAUAUUGUUUAAAAUAUAUAAUUAUGCGUGUUUUAGAUGGUUAUUGUUUACUACGAGGAUAAUUUUUAAGAUUAUUUUACUUGUUUGUGUUGAGGUUUAUGCCUUGCCCCUCAGAGGAAAAAAGUAUCGAAACCCAAUUUAGUCUUUCUCAGAAACAGGUCACACCCAUGACCCAUUUAUUAGUUAUCCCUGUAUCCACUAGAUAACAACACGCCACAAAGUGAGAACCAUGCGGUGAAAAUUUACACAUGCAGAGUGGUAUUAAAGCUCAUUACGAGGAACUCUGUACCUUUAGCCACGUUGAGGACUCCGUGCACGAUGAAACAGUCACGAUUGAUCUACUCUUCGGAAGAAGCUAUUGCAUUUCGGAGGUGGGAUAGUGUGUAAGGGGUAAGUUUAAAACUAAAAAGGGUUCUAAUGGUGAAUAAUGGAUGGACUAUGUAUCAUUCAUCAUUUUUGUGUAAUGGACUCCUUUUGUCCAUUGCAAUAUCAAUUAUUAUUAUUUUUUACACAUUGAGAAAAUGUUAAAAUUUCGUACUUGCAAGUUGUGAUGAAUUUUCAAUCAA